rnacentral:tRNA from 1 species
GAGAGGUGGCAGAGUGGUCGAAUGCGGCGGUCUUGAAAACCGUUGGCGGGUAAUCCCCGUCCGGGGGUUCGAAUCCCUCCCUCUCC